GGCCGGGUGGCGAAAUGGUAAACGCGCUGCACUCAAAAUGCAGUGUCCUUGGACUUGAGAGUUCGAAUCUCUCCCCGGCUA
rnacentral:tRNA from 1 species